UACGUAGGGUGCGAGCGUUGUCCGGAAUUAUUGGGCGUAAAGGGCUCGUAGGCGGUUUGUCGCGUCGGGAGUGAAAUCCACUGGCUUAACUGGUGGCUUGCUUUCGAUACGGGCAGACUGGAGGUAUGCAGGGGAGAACGGAAUUCCUGGUGUAGCGGUGAAAUGCGUAGAGAUCGGGAGGAACACCAGAGGCGAAGGCGGCACCCUGGACCAGCACUGACACUGAGGCACGAAAGCGUGGGGAGCAAACAGG
rnacentral:rRNA from 1 species